UGGGGAAUUUUGGACAAUGGGCGCAAGCCUGAUCCAGCAAUGCCGCGUGCAGGAUGAAGGCCUUCGGGUUGUAAACUGCUUUUGUACGGAACGAAAAGCCUCUCUCUAAUACAGGGGGGUGAUGACGGUACCGUAAGAAUAAGCACCGGCUAACUACGUGCCAGCAGCCGCGGUAAUACGUAGGGUGCAAGCGUUAAUCGGAAUUACUGGGCGUAAAGCGUGCGCAGGCGGUUUUGUAAGACAGUGGUGAAAUCCCCGGGCUCAACCUGGGAACUGCCAUUGUGACUGCAAGGCUGGAGUGCGGCAGAGGGGGGAUGGAAUUCCGCGUGUAGCAGUGAAAUGCGUAGAUAUGCGGAGGAACACCGAUGGCGAAGGCAAUCCCCUGGGCCUGCACUGACGCUCAUGCACGAAAGCGUGGGGAGCAAAACAGGAUUAGAUACCCUGGUAGUCCACGCCCUAAACGAUGUCAACUGGUUGUUGGGGAUUUAUUUCUUCAGUAACGAAGCUAACGCGUGAAGUUGACCGCCUGGGGGAGUACGGCCGCAAGGUUAAAAACUCAAAAUGAAUUGACGGGGUCAUAGCUGUUUCCU
rnacentral:rRNA from 1 species